AGGACGCAUGCGCGGGACUACGCGCCGGGGGUUCGGUGUCCCUGCCCCCCCAUCUCCUUGGUCGCCCAGUCCUGAGCCUGCACUCCGCCCUCACCUCCUAUCCGCCCCGGGACCGAGAGGGAAUGGAGAUGGAGGGACUUCUGCACUGACCCAGGGGCUGGAGCGAAUCCCAGACCAGCUCGGCUACCUGGUGCUGAGUGAAGGCGCAGUGCUGGCGUCAUCUGGGGAUCUAGAGAAUGACGAGCAGGCAGCCAGCGCCAUCUCUGAGCUGGUCAGCACGGCCUGCGGUUUCCGGCUGCACCACAGCAUGAACGUACCCUUCAAGCGCCUGUCGGCCACAGAAACCAGCGGCCCUGACUCCUUCCACCUGACGCUCUGCCUCACCCAGCACACAGCCUGGCCCCCACCAGCCCACCUCGAAGAGUCCCGUCCUCAGAGCCUGGAAGGCCACACUGAAGGCAGCUGGGUUGUGAAAAGGGUGAAGAGGUCAGAAGAGUCAAGGCCGCCCGCAGCGCCAGCGUUCCCUUUAAGAUCCGCGCUCCUUCCAACCUCCACUGACAGCUCCUCACUGAGCCCCAGGGAUUUGGAAGGCAAGGGGAGAAAGAUCAGACCGGUCCGCUCAUACCAGUGAAACAGACAUCACCGGGCCCCUGACCACCUCCUCUGCCCCUCUGUCUGUGACAUGUUGGGCUGAAGAGCCCCAUUCUGAGGCUGAGAGGAGAAGCCAUAAGGAGCGAAUGAGGGCCAGACAGGGCACCAGCUUAGGAACCCAGGGAGGUGAAACCACAGGAGCAACUUUGUAAAGAAUAAGAGCCGACCAGUUCAUCUAAGCUCAGCUUUCUGCAGAACAAAAGCCUCAUUCAGGCGACCAAAGGAAAGAAGGAAAGAAGAAAGGAGAAUGACAGACAAGAGUUGAAAGCAGACAUUGUAAAGGACAUGACAAGGUAGCCAGAGGCUGACACAGAGAACUGGGGCCCCGACUCUGACGGCAGGGUCAGUGGUGUGGUAAUAUUAACGGUGGCUUGGGUCCAAGAGUUUUGCAGUCCCCUCCCCGCAACUCUCCCCAUUUUGCAGAUGAAGGUGCUCAGACCCAGAGGGUGGACAGCUUGCCCAAACUCAAUCCCAGGGGACAGGUUCCAAGAUAAGCAGGCAGAAAUGAACUGCUGGUCACAGAGGCUCUGGGCUAAAGGUACAGAAAGUCACACAUAGGGUCCAAUAAAUUAGCCAUUUAUUUAUAAAUAAAAUCGAGCCGAACACUGAAACAUGAAACGGGGAAGCUUGUGAAGGAUGUGGCGGAUGGCAGAGGCCAUGAGAUAUGCUUUUAUUUCUUCUUUCUUUUUUCUAGUUUAAGAAAGUGAUACUGAAAAAACUCGAUAGAACCCGACCCAUAGAUCCUGACAUCCUAGUCCCCUGCCCUGCACCCCGCAAACACCAGCUUUGUCUGUUUCUGAGACCGGGUGCCCCCACCCAUUCCCCACCUUCAACUUCCUUCAAACCCCUCCCCCCGCAACUCUAAAACUCCUCCCUUUUUCUCUGUUGGGGCUUACCACCAGCCCAACCAUAGAGGCUGGGUUAGAGAGACCACACCUCCUUCCUAAAUAAAUACCCCCAGCCCCUCCUCCCCAGAUACCAAAUGAAAAAAUAAAUAUAGUGAACACCCAUCCCCAACCCAACCCACCAAUGGAAAUCUGGAUUUGGGGCCCCAGCCAUUCACCCAAAAAGUCCCUUCUCUACCCUCUCUGCAGCCCCCUCCGACUCCUCCCCAGACCCAGCAGACGGGGGAGGAGGGGAUGGGCCACGAACCCUUCUGAUGCCAGGGCACCCCUCCCCAGUUAUCGAGGUCCGAGCAGGGCCAGGGCUGAGAGGAAGAGAAUGAGGAGGGGUUGGGUGUGAAAACUGACAGACGUCCCUCCAGUCCUGCUCCUGUCUUGGCUGUGGCGGAUAAUGACACCUCCUCCUUUGCCCCCAGCACCAUCCCUUCGAGGAGGGCGAGGAGGCCGGGCCGGGGGGGCCACAGCUGCUGCCCCAGCCAUCCAGUCAUCUGCAUAGUGCUGUCCCUCUCCAGAGCCGCUAGCGUCCUCUGCAGGGAGGAGGAGGAUCGGAAACAGACAGGGAUGGAAAAGAGAGGUAGCGGGAGACAGAGAGAGAGAAGGAGCCACAGGCAGCGAGGGAGAGAACUCGAGAUAAAAACAGUGAUAGGUGGACGGGUGGAGGAGCAGGCAGGGUGAGAAGAGGGAGAAAGCGAAUGACAGGAAGGUGAGCAGAGAGAUCAGACACAUGAGAAUGAGGGAAGGCAACGAGAGACAGGAAGAGACAACGAGGCAGACAAAAAGGAGAGACAGAUGGAGAGAGAGGAUAAACAGGAAAAGAGAGAAAACAGACGUACACAGAAGCAGCGAGCAGACGGGAAGGGGGGAGAGACAGAGACAGACAGUGGGAGAGAGGAAAAAAAUAGAUGUCAGUGCCUUGUUUCCCUGGCAAAUUCUACUUUGGGGAGCCAGCCCCAUGGCGCCCGCACCCCACUUCCCCACCUCCCGGGAUUGCCCACUCUUAGGAGCUUCCCACCGUUCUGUAAGAGUGUUUUGGUGUCUCCCCCAGGGAACCAUGAACUCAAGGAUAGAGACCCUGUCAUUGGUGCUCUACCCCCUACCUUUGAGUAAAGCGCUCAAUACGUGCGUGUAAAA